rnacentral:rRNA from 1 species
UACGGAGGGGGCUAGCGUUGUUCGGAAUUACUGGGCGUAAAGCGCACGUAGGCGGUCUUUUAAGUCGGGGGUGAAAUCCUGGAGCUCAACUCCAGAACUGCCUUCGAUACUGGAAGACUUGAGUCCGGGAGAGGUGAGUGGAACUGCGAGUGUAGAGGUGAAAUUCGUAGAUAUUCGCAAGAACACCAGUGGCGAAGGCGGCUCACUGGCCCGGUACUGACGCUGAGGUGCGAAAGCGUGGGGAGCAACAGGG